rnacentral:rRNA from 1 species
CGCUGCCCGCGACGUUGUGAGAAGUCCACUGAACCUUAUCAUUUAGAGGAAGGAGAAGUCGUAACAAGGUUUCCGUAGGUGAACCUGCGGAAGGAUCAUUGUCGAUCCCUUACAUGCAAACCAACUUGGGAAUUUUUUUG